AACGCGAAGAACCUUACCUGGUCUUGACAUCCCUCUGACCGAUCCGUAAUGGGAUCUUUCCUUCGGGACAGAGGAGACAGGUGGUGCAUGGUUGUCGUCAGCUCGUGUCGUGAGAUGUUGGGUUAAGUCCCGCAACGAGCGCAACCCUUAUCUUUAGUAGCCAGCAUUUCGGAUGGGCACUCUAGAGAGACUGCCAGGGAUAACCUGGAGGAAGGUGGGGAUGACGUCAAAUCAUCAUGCCCCUUAUGACCAGGGCUACACACGUGCUACAAUGGCGUAAACAAAGGGAAGCGACCCCGCGAGGGUAAGCAAAUCUCAAAAAUAACGUCUCAGUUCGGAUUGUAGUCUGCAACUCGACUACAUGAAGCUGGAAUCGCUAGUAAUCGCGAAUCAGAAUGUCGCGGUGAAUACGUUCCCGGGUCUUGUACACACCG
rnacentral:rRNA from 1 species